rnacentral:misc_RNA from 1 species
UCCGUGUUGACCACGGCAGUCUCUUAUGAGUCCCCGGCAUUACCCGCUGGCAACAUAAGACAAGGGUUGCGCUCGUUGCGGGACUUAACCCAACAUCUCACGACACGAGCUGACGACAGCCAUGCACCACCUAUCGCAGACCCCGAAGGACACCACAUCUCUGUGGCUUUUCCUGCGUAGUUCAAUCUAGGUAAGGUUUUUCGCGUUGCAUCGAAUUAAGCAACAUGCUCCGCUGCUUGUGCGGGUCCCCGUCAAUUCCUUUGAGUUUUAGCCUUGCGGCCGUACUCCCCAGGCGGGAUACUUAAUGCGUUAGCGACGACGCGGAAGAAGUUGGUUAUCUCCCACAUCUAGUAUCCACCGUUUACGGCGUGGACUAC